AACGAACGCUGGCGGCAUGCCUAACACAUGCGAGUCGAACGAGACCUUCGGGUCUAGUGGCGCACGGGUGCGUAACGCGUGGGAACCUGCCCCUAGGUUCGGAAUAACUCCCCGAAAGGGGUGCUAAUACCGGAUAAUGUCUUCGGACCAAAGAUUUAUCGCCUUUGGAUGGGCCCGCGUUGGAUUAGCUAGUUGGUAGGGUAAAAGCCUACCAAGGCGACAAUCCAUAGCUGGUCUGAGAGGAUGAUCAGCCACACUGGGACUGAGACACGGCCCAGACUCCUACGGGAGGCAGCAGUGGGGAAUAUUGGACAAUGGGCGAAAGCCUGAUCCAGCAAUGCCGCGUGAGUGAUGAAGGCCUUAGGGUUGUAAAGCUCUUUUACCCGGGAUGAUAAUGACAGUACCGGGAGAAUAAGCUCCGGCUAACUCCGUG
rnacentral:rRNA from 1 species